GACCCGGUAGCUCAACCCGGCAGAGCACCUGACUUUUAAUCAGGGGGUUGUGGGUUCGAUUCCCACCCGGGUCACCA
rnacentral:tRNA from 1 species